AGAGCGAACGCUGGCGGCAGGCCUAACACAUGCAAGUCGAACGGAUCCUUCGGGAUUAGUGGCGGACGGGUGAGUAACACGUGGGAACGUGCCUUUUGGUUCGGAACAACUCAGGGAAACUUGAGCUAAUACCGGAUAAGCCUUUCGAGGGAAAGAUUUAUCGCCCAGGGAUGAGCCCGCGUAGGAUUAGCUAGUUGGUGAGGUAAAGGCUCACCAAGGCUACGAUCCUUAGCUGGUCUGAGAGGAUGAUCAGCCACACUGGGACUGAGACACGGCCCAGACUCCUACGGGAGGCAGCAGUAGGGAAUAUUGGACAAUGGGGGCAACCCUGAUCCAGCAAUGCCGCGUGAGUGAUGAAGGCCUUAGGGUGUAAAGCUCUUUACCCGAGAUGAUAAUGACAGUAUCGGAGAAUAAGCUCCGGCUAACUCCGCGCCAGCAGCCGAC
rnacentral:rRNA from 1 species